AACUCGUGAUGUGGACAGAUAUUUAUCAGAUCCUUGAACCUCUCCCAAUAAGGUUGAAAAGUAUCAUCACCCUUCUGCAUAAACUGAAUGAUCUGCUCCUGCAGGU